rnacentral:rRNA from 1 species
GAUGAACGCUGGCGGCGUGCCUAAUACAUGCCAGUCGAGCGAACAGACGAGGAGCUUGCUCCUCUGACGUUAGCGGCGGACGGGUGAGUAACACGUGGAUAACCUACCUAUAAGACUGGGAUAACUUCGGGAAACCGGAGCUAAUACCGGAUAACAUGUUGAACCGCAUGGUUUAACAGUGAAAGACGGUCUUGCUGUCACUUAUAGAUGGAUCCGCGCCGCAUUAGCUAGUUGGUAAGGUAACGGCUUACCAAGGCAACGAUGCGUAGCCGACCUGAGAGGGUGAUCGGCCACACUGGAACUGAGACACGGUCCAGACUCCUACGGGAGGCAGCAGUAGGGAAUCUUUCGCAAUGGGCGAAAGCCUGACGGAGCAACGCCGCGUGAGUGAAGAAGGUCUUCGGAUCGUAAAACUCUGUUAUUAGGGAAGAACAAAUGUGUAAGUAACUAUGCACGUCUUGACGGUACCUAAUCAGAAAGCCACGGCUAACUACGUG